GCCGAGUUUACAACUCCCAAACCCCUGUGAACAUACCACUUGUUGCCUCGGCGGAUCAGCCCGCUCCCGGUAAAACGGGACGGCCCGCCAGAGGACCCCUAAACUCUGUUUCUAUAUGUAACUUCUGAGUAAAACCAUAAAUAAAUCA
rnacentral:misc_RNA from 1 species